AGACAGGUGCUGCAUGGCUGUCGUCAGCUCGUGUCGUGAGAUGUUGGGUUAAGUCCCGCAACGAGCGCAACCCUUGCCUUAGUUGCCAGCAGUUCGGCUGGGCACUCUAAAGGGACUGCCGGUGUUAAACCGGAGGAAGGUGGGGAUGACGUCAAGUCCUCAUGGCCUUUAUGACCAGGGCUACACACGUACUACAAUGGCCGAUACAAAGGGCAGCGACACUGCGAGGUGAAGCCAAUCCCGUAAAAAUCGGUCUCAGUCCGGAUUGGAGUCUGCAACUCGACUCCAUGAAGUUGGAAUCGCUAGUAAUCGUGGAUCAGCAUGCCACGGUGAAUACGUUCCCGGGCCUU
rnacentral:rRNA from 1 species